ensembl:lncRNA
GUCGCUGUAUUAUUAUUUAAAUAUAGUUAAUAGCAAGUUCAGUUCAAUUUGUCUGUCCAAUCAUUUGUUAAUUAAAUUUCAACAAAUAAAGAAAUGUUUAAAUCAAGCCUGAUGUUGUAAAGAUCUCACUCCAUGCAGCAUAAAGCUUAUAAAACACUCGAUCGGUGUUUGAUGCUGCGAGAUGCAUGUAAAACAUGGUGUAACAUUUGUCUUGUGCUAAACCCGGAUCCCGACAAUAUUCUAUCGACAUUAUCAAACAAGCCGCAAGUAAAUGUGAAUACGCGCAUUUACAAAAUGUACAUUUUAUACAAAUGAGGCCACAAAUGGGCUGUAGCCGAAAUACACAUUAAAGCAGUUCUAUCAGAGGGAUUUAGUAAACUGUGCCGUGAUACAAAGGAUCCACACACACACACACACACACACAUGCAGGGAUGAUAACUGUUCCCACUUGCAAAUGUCCUGCAGCCGAGGAUGCAAAGUGGCACCUCGCACACAACUUACUGUCUGACCUUAUUGUCCUCGACCACACUGCCUGAUCGUGUUUGUUAGACUCACAAUACGUUCAUGUGUCAAUUAUCUGAUGGUUAUAAAAGUACAGUAAAAUAAUUGAUGAAUCAGAGAUGGCCUAUAUUGGCAUCCAUCCCACGAUUAUUCUUCUCAACAUCUCUGCACUGAAAAAACAUGUGGAGUGCGAUUUACUUAAUAAAACUUAGGAAAGUUUUUGCACUUGUGGUGGUGGUGGUUGGUGUGGGGGGGUCUAAGGCCCCCCGUGCUCAGAUACUUGAAGACGUGCCGCUCCAGAUGCCGCUGCCACCCAGAUGUAUUGUAUAUUGUGUCGUCAUUACACCAGUGUUGGGAUGAUUUAACCCUCCUUUCGGUUUCGCCCGGCUUGUUGCUUCGCUUGCCGGCUGCUCACCGUGACUUUAAGACCGUCUGUCUGCUGGUGUGCUGUGGCCUGCUGAUGCCGCUCUAGUCCUCCUUUGGAGAAAUUUACUGUAGCACAAUUUUCUAUUCAAUCCGUUUUAGUACAAUUUAUUCAUCUCUGGAGUUUCUUCAAGUCUACCCAAAGAUUUUUUUAACAUCACAUUUCAACAUCAACAGCUGGCAGUUGUUGUACACCUGCUAUUAAAAAAUGCUUUUGAGUAAUUAUUAAUAAUCAUUUUGGAUAUUUAGUGCAAAUAAUAUUCAAUAAGACCAUUGUUAGCUAUACUUGAGCUUUUGUUACUUAUUCAAAACUGAAGACAGGAAGGAAGGAAAUACAAAUGUAGGGCUUUAAAUCUGCUCUGCUCUAAGCGUGAUGUUUAACAAAUGAAUGCACAGAAAAUGAACUGUCUUGUUAUUUAUUGAAAUAAUAAUACAUGUACACCAGCGACUUUGUGAAUCAUCUUAAAAAAGAACAGGAAUUACAAGUUACAAGUAAACAUUAUUUUAGCGUUAUUUUACGGUAAAAUACCACAAAUGGCGUUUGCACUAUGUUACUGUAAAAUGGAUUACUGUAUGUUACCAUAAACUUGAACGAAUUUGACUGUGAAUUAACUGCAAUUUACUGGCAGUUGACACUAGUAAUUUACUGUUUUAUUUACCGUGCCCUACCGUAAUUUACGGUAUGUUGUUGUAUAUUGGAUUACAGUUUGUUACCAUACGAUUACUGUUUUUGUGUUAUAAAUACCAGAAUGUCAAUGUCAAUUUUAUUUAUACAGCACUUUUAAAGGCCAGUGGCCAGCCAAAGUGCUUUACAGGAUAAAAAACAAUCAGCAUCAAUAAAACAAUACGAAGAAA